rnacentral:rRNA from 1 species
UACGGAAGGCAGCAGUGGGGAAUAUUGCACAAUGGGCGCAAGCCUGAUGCAGCCAUGCCGCGUGUAUGAAGAAGGGCCUUCGGGUUGUAAAGUACUUUCAGUCGUGAGGAAGGUGUUAAGGUUAAUAACCUUAGCAAUUGACGUUAGCGACAGAAGAAGCACCGGCUAACUCCGUGCCAGCAGCCGCGGUAAUACGGAGGGUGCGAGCGUUAAUCGGAAUUACUGGGCGUAAAGGGCACGCAGGCGGUUAAUAAGUUGGAUGUGAAAUCCCCGGGCUUAACCUGGGAAUGGCAUUCAAGACUGGUUAGCUAGAGUCUUGUAGAGGGGGUAGAAUUCCAUGUGUAGCGGUGAAAUGCGUAGAGAUGUGGAGGAAUACCGGUGGCGAAGGCGGCCCCUGGGACAAAGGACUGACGCUCAUGUGCGAAAGCGUGGGGAGCAAACAGGAUUAGAUACC